GAAAUGCGAUAAGUAAUGUGAAUUGCAGAAUUCAGUGAAUCAUCGAAUCUUUGAACGCACAUCGCGCCCCCUGGUAUUCCGGGGGGCAUGCCUGUUCGAGCGUCAUUUCACCACUCAAGCCUCGCUUGGUAUUGGGCAACGCGGUCCGCCGCGUGCCUCAAAUCGACCGGCUGGGUCUUCUGUCCCCUAAGCGUUGUGGAAACUAUUCGCUAAAGGGUGUUCGGGAGGCUACGCCGUAAAACAACCCCAUUUCUAGGGUUGACCUCGGAUCAGGUAGGGAUACCCGCUGAACUUAAGC
rnacentral:misc_RNA from 1 species